CUUGCUUUCUUUGCUGGCGACCGGCGCACGGGUGAGUAACACGUAUCCAACCUGCCCUUUACUCGGGGAUAGCCUUUCGAAAGAAAGAUUAAUACCCGAUAGCAUAAUGAUUCCGCAUGGUUUCAUUAUUAAAGGAUUCCGGUAAAGGAUGGGGAUGCGUUCCAUUAGGUUGUUGGUGAGGUAACGGCCCACCAAGCCUUCGAUGGAUAGGGGUUCUAAGAGGAAGGUCCCCCACAUUGGAACUGAGACACGGUCCAA
rnacentral:rRNA from 1 species